AGGGACAAUCCAGGGGACUACAGUAAUUCAACACUGGGCCACCCCAGCCAUCACACGGGAGUCAGGGAAGGCUUCCCAGGGGAGCUGAUUUUGUGCCGUAUCUUGCCUGGACCUCAGCAGGAGACCAGAGUGAUAUGCAGUUCACUUUCCCUGGAGUGAAAUGUGUGGUUAAGUCAUAUGUACCUUUGCUUUUGAAAAUCAAACAUGAUCAUCUGAUACUAUGAA